rnacentral:rRNA from 1 species
AUUGAACGCUGGCGGCAGGCCUAACACAUGCAAGUCGAGCGGAGCGGCGGACGGGUGAGUAAUGCCUAGGAAUCUGCCUGGUAGUGGGGGAUAACGUCCGGAAACGGGCGCUAAUAACGCAUACUAUCAGUUCAGCUUCGGUCUGAUUAGAUAGUUGGGGGGUUAAAGGCCUACCAAGUCGAUGAUCCGUAACUGGUCUGAGAGGAUGAUCAGUCACACUGGAACUGAGACACGGUCCAGACUCCUACGGGAGGCAGCAGUGGGGAAUAUUGGACAAUGGGCGAAAGCCUGAUCCAGCCAGGCCGCGUGUGGGAAGAAGGUCUUCGGAUUGUAAAACACGUUAAGUUGGGAGGCGUUACCAACAGAAAAAGCACCGGCUAACUUCGUGCCAGCAGCCGCGGUAAUAC